rnacentral:rRNA from 1 species
AUACGGAGGGUGCAAGCGUUAUUCGGAAUCACUGGGCGUAAAGGACGCGUAGGCGGGUUGGCAAGUCAGAUGUGAAAUCCUACAGCUUAACUGUAGAACUGCAUUUGAAACUGCUAACCUAGAGUAUGGGAGAGGGAGAUGGAAUUAGUGGUGUAGGGGUAAAAUCCGUAGAUAUCACUAGGAAUACCGAAAGCGAAGGCGAUCUCCUGGAACAUAACUGACGCUAAGGCGUGAAAGCGUGGGGAGCAAACAGGAUUAGAUACCCCAGUAGUCC